rnacentral:misc_RNA from 1 species
GAAAUGCGAUACGUAAUGUGAAUUGCAGAAUUCAGUGAAUCAUCGAGUCUUUGAACGCACAUUGCGCCCCCUGGUAUUCCGGGGGGCAUGCCUGUCCGAGCGUCAUUGCUGCCCUCAAGCACGGCUUGUGUGUUGGGCCCCCUUCCCCCCCCAAGGGGACGGGCCCGAAAGGCAGCGGCGGCACCGUGUCCGGUCCUCGAGCGUAUGGGAAGCAACUUUUUGUCACCCGCUCCUGUAGGUCCGGCCGGCGGCCUGCCCAACCCCAACCUUUUUUUCAACCAGGUUGACCUCGGAUCAGGUAGGGAUACCCGCUGAACUUAAGC